rfam:Dipodomys ordii contig_21570, whole genome shotgun sequence.
GGGAAGGUGGCUCAGUGGUAGAGUGCUUGCCUUGCAUGCAUGAGGCCCUAGGCUCAAUUCCUCAGCAUCACA